CGGGAUGUGGUGCAGUUUGGUAGCACACUUGACUGGGGGUCAAGAGGUCGCAAGUUCAAGUCUUGUCAUUCCGA
rfam:Lachnoanaerobaculum sp. ICM7 ctg120007550928, whole genome shotgun sequence.